GAUGAAGAACGUAGUGAAAUGCGAUAAGUAAUGCGAAUUGCAGAAUCCGUGAGUCAUCGAAUCUUUGAACGCACAUUGCGCCCCUUGGUUAUUCCGAAGGGCAUGCCUGUUCGAGCGUCAUUUCAACCAUCAAGCCCCAGGCUUGUGUUGGGGACCUGCGGCUGCCGCAGGCCCUGAAAACCAGUGGCGGGCUCGCUAGUCACACCGAGCGUAGUAGCAUACACAUCGCUCAGGGCGUGCUGCGGGUUCCGGCCGUUAAACCCCUUUUUUACCCAAGGUUGACCUCGGAUCAGGUAGGAAGACCCGCUGAACUUAAGCAUAUCAAUAAGCGGAGGA
rnacentral:misc_RNA from 1 species